GACGGAGGAUGCAAGUGUUAUCCGGAAUCACUGGGCGUAAAGCGUCUGUAGGUGGUCAAAUAAGUCAACUGUUAAAUCUUGAGGCUCAACCUCAAAAUCGCAGUCGAAACUAUUAGACUAGAGUAUAGUAGGGGUAAAGGGAAUUUCCAGUGGAGCGGUGAAAUGCGUAGAUAUUGGGAAGAACACCAGUGGCGAAGGCGGCUCACUGGACUGGUAUUGACGCUGAGGUGCGAAAGCGUGGGGAGCAAACAGG
rnacentral:rRNA from 1 species